rnacentral:lncRNA from 1 species
CUAACGGCCAGAUGAGAGCAGUUGGCAGUUAUUUUGCAGGAGGCUUCUCAGGGAUGAAGGCAAGCUGGCCCCUAGCUGAUCAGCUGGUUGGUGAGGACUCUUCACGAAGUAAGGGACCAUUGUGAAGAUGGAAGAAUGCCCACAAAAUCCAGCUUGAAACCUGCUGGCUCUGAGGGUCCUGCUGGCUCAGCAGUGCUGGUAACCAAGAAGUAUCGCAGGCCCAGGGUCAGUGGGGUCUUACCCUACACGGUGGGGCAGCUGCCAAGCAUAUGAUCUCCACUAUGCUUUUCCUUAGUGUUUCUUCUGUCCUAACCAGAAAGUUACCCUUCUAUUUGCGGAGAGCUAUUGCCUAUCGGCCUGGACCAGCAGAUAACUCAGCACUCAUGAUCAGCUGUCAAGCUAUAACGGAGUGUUGAGGCAGUCCCUGAAACCACAGCGCCAUUUUGUAGGAACUAAGAAGCCAACCUCAAGGAAUCACUCGCCCCAAGAAGACUUUGUUCUGAUCUGAUGUGUUUCUAGCCUGGUGGAGCCUCAGCUAUCCAAAGGAAGAGCUGUUAAGAUGAUUGGAAUUUUGGUUUUUCCGAUUCACUCUUUUUUCUCUCCAGCCAUCUGCCUUAGACAGCAGGAGAAAAGGAAACUUAGCCUCAGAGGUGGGGUCCUUCGGAAGGACUGACAGUGGGCUAGCUCUCCUGCUGCUGGGAGCCUGAGUGCCUUUGGCUCCUUGUCCAGACCUCAGCUUUACCACGGAGGUUACCUGCUUACCAUCAACAUCGAAACUUGCCUCUUCCCCUGGGUGUAUUCUCCCUCUUUUGUGUACAGUUUGAUUCCUCCAAACUGCUCUCCCUGUGAAGAAAGCCGAUGGAAUUCAGGGAGCCUGGCCAGCCACCCAGGCCUUUAUAAAGGUCCUCGUACCACAGGAUGUAUGGGAGACCCAAUAAAGACUUUUGCAAAAUGCU